rnacentral:lncRNA from 1 species
UGAUGGCCCCUGCUUCCUUCCCUUUAUCCUGUUUCUUCCCAGGGUCUGUUCUCCUGGUGUGAAGUCACUGUGUCCCUCCACCACCACACUUGAGUCCCCCUUACCACUGUGUCCUUAAAGUUCCUGGGAGAUGGCGUGGAGCCAGAGGAAGCAUGGUGACAGCUUUGUUAUAGAUGAGGGAACUGAGGCGGAAAAACUUCCAGGAAACACAAGCGAGGAGCUGCAGCCACCCUGAGGCCGCUGCAGAGGCCAUGGUGGCUGAAAGUCACCCGCCUGCUUCGGGCUUCCAGUCCUCUCAGCCUUCAACACGUGCGGCCAUGAGGAAGGUGGUCUCCAUCUCUGAGCACAGCCAUGUGCUGGCCCUGGCUUCAGCUAGUCACAGCGGUAGAAGCUGCCUUGUCACGGUUCCGGUGAG